rnacentral:lncRNA from 10 species
CAUUUAGUCCUCACAACAGCCCUCUGGGAGGGCAAGUGGAAGAGUGAGUAGAUCAGCUGGAUAGGAGUGAGGAGUUGGAGGAAGGGUUGGGGUAUGGCCAGUGCAGUUAAGUGACUUGCCUUAGUGCACACCCCCAGAAAGUGACAGCACCAGCAUUUGAACCCUGACACAAGCAUCUCCAAAACUGCAUUCUUCCCACUGUGCCACAGUUAAGAUGAGUCCACCAGCCCUGUUUAGACUUUGGUGUUUGAACUGCGUUUUGAAGGCAAAGAAGUCAGAUAGACAAAUGAAAGAGAGGGAAAAGGCACUCCAGGUAGCAGGAACAGCAUGUGCAGAAUCAAAGAGGCAUGAAGAAAACUUAAAAUGUAGUCUUCCAAGUCAUGUACCCUAGAACUUAAAGUAUAAUAAAAAAAUAAACAUAGAAAAAUAAAAUA